CGUUGGCCCCCACGUUUCUGUCCGUAGUGUUCGGGCCUUCCAGCGAACCAGCUUUCACACCAGCCGUGCCGAAUGCCCCUCAGGUCGGCCAGACCGGGACGUCACACGUCGCUCCCCAGACCCACCGUCUGCAACCACAUCCCAAACAAGCCCGCCCCUCGCCCUUGCACAGGCCCCGCCUCCCAUCCCACCAGAACCCUGCAUGGGCAGAGCUUCGCCCCCUAGCUCGUAGGCUCGCCUCUGCGGUUGGCCCCACCCCCGCAGGCCCCGCCUUCUCUCCCAGACCUUGAGGAGUUUCCGCCCGGAGUGCAAGGGAGGAGACGCUUCGACGCCGGUGGUCCUUGGCUCCAGCCAUCUGGCCUCUAGAGAAUGAUCUCUCCACCAGCGAUGGGCAAGUAAUUCUGGUGAGGAAACUGAAACACAGAGAGGUUAAGGAACUUGCUCAAGGUCACACAGCUUGUAAGUGAUAGAGGCACAAUGUGAACUCCAGCCGUGCUGCCCCCAGACUGGGAGGACCUCAAGAACAGGUUAUGAUUUAAAUUGACUGAGUCUGGUAAUUUGGGGCCUCCCCGGGAAGCAGUGAUACCAGGUGGCUCUGAGGAGACAGUUCCAGCAAGAUGAUGGCCCUUGCUCAACAGCCUGAAGAAAAUGCCAAGGCCCAAGGCAAGAGGGCAGCAUUUGGGUUUAAGAACGCUAUCAGAUGGGGGUGCCUGGCUGGCUCAGUCGGUUAAUCGUCCAACUCUUGAUUUCGGCUCAAGUCAUGAUCUCCCCAUUCAUGAGUUCGAGCCCCAAAUCGGGCUCCGUGCUAACAUCUCAGAGCCUGGAGCCUGCUUCAGAUUCUGUGUCUCCCUCUCCCUCUGUUCCUCCCAU